UUUAGACUUUUAACGAACGACUCAGAGAGACAGAUCCGAGCAAAACAGUGCAUGAACAAGACAAAACAAUUAAGAGAGGCGUAGCAUCUUAGACAAUAGUUCCUGAUAACAGCGUACAAUUUGUAAUCAAUUACCUGACGAUCCAUUGGUGUGAGCAUGGAACAAGAGACUUAAUGUUUGGCCAGUCAAAGCAUACCAAGAGUUGGUAAGCUACCAAGACAAGUGAUUAUCUUGGCUUGUUAAAUAAGGUUAAUUCACUGUCUAAUGGUCCUGGGAACUGAUGAACCAUUUGAUGUUAAAGGGUAAUUGCCUAUGUCUGAGUGGUGUUGUGUGUGGCGGGGAAAACCAGGAGACUUUGUGUGUCGAGAUAGAGAGAGCAUCGCCCUCAGAAGCGUGGAUGUGUCAACAUACUGUCAGAGAAGAUUACAGGCAUCAUUAAAAUAUUCACUCUGUGACCUUAAAGCGAUGCUUCCCACCUCCGCUUGGAUUAAUCAGUACAUACCGAAGUUUCUAUACUGCCUGGAUUACUACAGUUCGGUGUGUCUGGUCUAUCAUUACGCUUCAUCUGGUGUCACCUGGCACCUGAAAACCAGCAUUACUUCUAUGGCAGGCCUCAUGUCAUCACAAGUUGUCCACCACGACUUGCCUGUGUAAGAACACCAAGCGGAGAGCAAACCAAGGCCAAACAUGUCAUCAAAAGCUCCCAUUGAUCCCAACC
ensembl:lncRNA